rnacentral:tRNA from 1 species
UCCCUGGAGGACUAGUGGCUAGGCCACAGCGCUCUCACUGCUGUGGCCUGGGUUCGAUACCAGGCCAGGGAA